rnacentral:lncRNA from 1 species
UUAAAUCAGCUUUAUCCACAUCAAGAGAACUACCAACAGCAGCCUAUGAAGAAAAACAUAUCAACUGCAUUAGUGCAAGAUGGCAAAGAUCAAAAGCACUGUAUCACAAAAACUCAAACCUGUGAUUGAAAAACUAACCAGCCCAACUAUAGCAGAUCCAAGAAACUUGACCCAAUCCAUUGGAGUCAAUCCUGGAUUUUUCUUUUCUGGCUGUCAAGUAAAAAGUUGUGACCAAGUCAUCACUUAUGCACCUUGGGGGAAUAGGUAAUUGGUAAUAACACAACCAUUGGAUGUUGAUGAGAUGAUUCACAAAUGAGGUAACUCACAAGAACUAUUUCCAUAUCAGCCAUUGGAAUGUUUUUGAAAUGCUUCACAUAAAUUCCUCUUUCUUGUUUUGAUUUGGUGCUAGCCGGCCUGAUGAAUCAUUUUCCAACUUAGAAUUCAGUAGAAUACAACUACUCAUGGAUUUUUUACAUCUUGUUUGAUUCUAUCCAGGCAUUACUUGUAUGUGCCAAAACCCUCAGAAGAUAACUCAAAUUCCUUGUUUUUCAUAAUUUUUCAGAAUAGUCUUUUAGGUAUUUCUUAAGAUGAUAAAAGAAACAUGUUUAUAGCUAUCAUUGUCUUAAAUGCAAGGAUUUUUUCUCUCUCAAAAUAGCAUGCAUAUAGAUCAGAAAUGCAAGGAAAGACUGAUAAUUUUAUACAAAGAGGGAUAAUUUUCGUCAAACUUUUUAUUAUUUCUUUUAACAGUUCUAUAAUUUUCAGUCUAUAAUACAGUCAAAUAAUUUCAUUUUACAAAUUAUCAUAGUAGAGAUCAAAGAUACAAUUGAGCACUACCUGUAGACAACAAUUAUCCUAUCAAAUGUUGGUUCUUGGAUUGUGUUCUUGUUCAGCAAACUACCGAUUCUGAAAAUUAGCAAACAAUUUCAUGAGUGACAAGAUAAUCAAACAUUCAAGAUUUAAACAGUUUUACAUGCAUGAGCUCAGUAGUUUUGUGAGACAAAGCAACAUGCAUUUCUCAGACAAAUGGAGUAGUUGGAUUUCUAGAUAGAAAAUUGAGAUUUAACAAAUAAGAAUAAUUUUCUAAAUCCUUUGCAAAAAUCUGUAUUUUAUACUGGAGGACUACUGUUAAUAUUUAGAAUUUUCCAAUGCUAUACUACUGGUAACUGUGAUGAUUCUAGAGUAAAUAACACCAUUAUUAAGUGAGAAUUUAAAUCUUUGAUAAAGUGGAAACUGCUAACAUUCAGGUUUUUCUCUACACAAAUCUAAAUUAGCAGAGUACAUCAAAGUGAGUGGUGAAUGCUUAUUUCAAGAAGAGGCUGCCAUAAGCAUACUUUAAGGAUGAAUGUUGUGAAUGAAGUAUGAAAAGUCCUACUCCAGAAAGAAAACAAGAUAACAACAACACCACACAAAGAGAUUCAGCAAGACCUCAAUG